rnacentral:rRNA from 1 species
CAGCACCUCAAGUGGUCAGGAUGAUUAUUGGGCCUAAAGCAUCCGUAGCCGGCGCUGUAAGUUUUCGGUUAAAUCUGUACGCUCAACGUACAGGCUGCCGGGAAUACUGCAGCGCUAGGGAGUGGGAGAGGUAGACGGUACUCGGUAGGAAGGGGUAAAAUCCUUUGAUCUAUUGAUGACCCCCUGUGGCGAAGGCGGUCUACCAGAACACGUCCGACGGUGAGGGAUGAAAGCUGGGGGAGCAAACCGGAUUAGAUACCCGAGUAGUCC